rnacentral:lncRNA from 1 species
UUAUUGAUCCGUAAGAAACAAUCAACACACAAUUCCCUUUAUAUUAUUAUCUAUAUUGUGCUAACAUCAAUAAUCAAAAAUAUUUCUUACCCAAAAUCUGUGAUCGUCUAUUUAUCUCCCUUACUUAUCAAACUAAUUUUACACAAACUUUUAUUUUACAGCUUAGAAGAAAACACAACAACCCAAACAAUCAAAACACCAAAAACUAGAAUUCCAAAAAAAGACGAAUCAUUAAUGAUCACCUCUCUUUUUUUGUCUAAGCUUAGAAAUAAACUUCAAAACAAAUAUACCAAACCAAUCACCUCAACUAAAACUCAACGACACAUACAUCAAGUCAGCUAAACAAAUACAAAUUACAUGGCCAACU